rnacentral:rRNA from 1 species
GAUGAACGCUGGCGGCGUGCCUAAUACAUGCAAGUCGAGCGAACGGACGAGAAGCUUGCUUCUCUGAUGUUAGCGGCGGACGGGUGAGUAACACGUGGAUAACCUACCUAUAAGACUGGGAUAACUUCGGGAAACCGUAGCUAAUACCGGAUAAUAUUUUGAACCGCAUGGUUCAAAAGUGAAAGACGGUCUUGCUGUCACUUAUAGAUGGAUCCGCGCUGCAUUAGCUAGUUGGUAAGGUAACGGCUUACCAAGGCAACGAUGCAUAGCCGACCUGAGAGGGUGAUCGGCCACACUGGAACUGAGACACGGUCCAGACUCCUACGGGAGGCAGCAGUAGGGAAUCUUCCGCAAUGGGCGAAAGCCUGACGGAGCAACGCCGCGUGAGUGAUGAAGGUCUUCGGAUCGUAAAACUAUGUUAUUAGGGAAGAACAUAUGUGUAAGUAACUGUGCACAUCUUGACGGUACCUAAUCAGAAAGCCACGGCUAACUACGUG